rnacentral:lncRNA from 1 species
CUAGGGACCAAAACGCGGGUGGUGGAACACGUACUUAAAAAUGGUCGCUCGACCAUGAAAACGUGUGCUAUAGCUUACGGGAGGCCAUAAACAGCCUUAGCAGUCUCAAUGGCCAAAUCAUGGUUGGCGGACGGGAGGCAUGAAAUCGUUGUUUGACGAUGAAAACAUGUGUCACGGGAGGCCAAAAAUAGACUUACCGGCCUCCGGGGACCAAAAUGUGUACUAUGGUUUGGACACUAAAAUUCCACUAUGUCAGCAAAGUUGAUAUGGUUAGGAGACUCAAAUUUCAUUUUACUAUGGUUUCGACACUAAAAUCCUUUAGUGUCGAUGUUUAGGUUUAUGUAACACCCCUGGUGUUACUAUAACUAAAAUCUGAGCAUGGCAUCAUAAGCAUUGGCAUUGCAUAGUUUUGAUACACCUAGAGUGCAUUUACUAGGUAAAAAUUUCAAACAAGUUGUAUUGUUUUGGUGUUUUGCAAACCCUGGAUAGGGAACUUAACCCUAAUUAGGGAUUAAAGGGGUAAAACUUAAUCCAAGUUGAGAAAACCUAAAAGCCUUUGGGGAAUAGUCAUAAAAUAUCCCCAAAAAUAAAGUUGAAUCACAUUUAUACCCCUGGGAUGCCAGAAACCCUAAUUGGAACCCUGGAAAACCCUAAAUCCAAACCCUAGGAACCUAUGUGCAAAAUUAGUCCACUUUUGGACUAAAGUGCAAAAACCAAGUUAAAUAAGUGUCUUAAGUCAUUUGGUUCACAAAUGUGUGGAUUUGUAAGCUAAUUCUUGGAUUUUGGGCUUAUUUGCAAAAUGGACCUCAUUUGAGUUCUAUGCUAAGUCUGAAAUCAGAGAUUUGGCUCAACUUUGGAGCUUUAUAGCUUUCAAAUCAUUAAAAGUUUGCCCUAGGUCACCACAUCAAAAUUAUAGCCCAAUUAUAGGUGAACAACUUUGCUUAAGAGUGUGAGCAUUGUUGUUAAGAAAAUAUUGGAGAUAAUCAGGCCUGAAAUCAAGCUGUCAGGCUGAUUCAGUCUGAAAUUCAGAUGUUCCGUGCAAAAACACAACUUUGAGUAUGAAUUCAACCUUGAUCUAGUGCUCAAAUGAGUUCAAGCCCUAUAGUCGAAUUAUUGCUGGUUUAUAGCUCUACAAUUUUGCUGCAGAGCUUGGGAGGAGUUGUCAUUGGAAAUUGAGAGUAAAUCAUGCUCCAAGUUGCUCUGUCAGGUUGUCUGAUGGAGCACUCGCCAUGGUACAGUGCUACCAGGGAGAUCAGAUCGCCAGCGCAGCUGUUAUCACCGCCGGUGACCUGCCGCCGUGAUUCGUGCCAUUGCCGUCGCAUUUUGUGCUCGGCUGGGUUAGAUAACGCUUCAGGUAGAAAGAUCUUCGCCGCCGUCAAGCUGGAAGCCACCCCGGUCAGCCGCGGUACUCCUCCCCUGGCUCACCGCCUGCGGGUAAAGUUGCUCACCGUCAUCGUGCCAUCGCCGUUGGCCACCGCGUGUCCUAACCGUGCCAUCGCAUCGCCGUGACUCCCUCUAAACUCCCCGUCGACCACCGGAGUUACUGCCACGGUGGUGAACACGUGUUCACUGCACCAGCAUUCUUCCUCACUUCCGACCGACGUGUGUCUCGUCCAAAAUUCGCGGCCAUCGCUCGCUCCACCUAUAAAUUGAGCCCUCCCCUAGCUGCGUAACAUCCUCACCCACCCAGCCACCAACAAUCGUUAGCAACCGUGCCUCCGAGAGCUUGAAUUUUGGUUUCUCCCCAAUCCGGGUUUCCGCCACCGCAAAACUCACAUCACCGCGGUCAGCCCCAAUCCGGUUAGUUCAUCUCUCUCUCUCCCUUGUUUGAGCACUCUGGUUGCUCUGUGAUGCUUGCCGAGCCAUCAAUUGAAACUAAGAGACCACCAAUCGCCGGGAACACGACGAUCUAGCCGCCAUGCUCUCUGUCACCGUGGCCAGAGCUCCUUAGUUGGUCAUUAGUGCAAUUAAGUUAGGGGAAAUACUCUUUAGGUCACGGAUUUGGUUUAGACCGAAGACUAGCGCCGGUCUUGUUCCCCUCCGGCCGGUCUGCGUGCUCGCCGGAGUUCAUCCUCCGCGCGACGCCGUCGGGGACCUCCCACUGCGAAGAAACAGAAACCGGGGGUCUCUUUUGCAAGUUGUCAGUGGCUCUGUUAAACAGUGAAAGAACUCGUUCGCUGUUAGACAAAAACGCAAGGACCGUUCUGCAAAACCGCCAGCGCGGGCGCGGGCGCGCGCACGCUUCUGCGUGGAGUUGGGCCGCUUAAGCCAGUUUGAGCCUAAUACUGUUGAGUCUUUUCCUUUUUCUUUUUCAAAAUAACUUUAGAAAUCCAUGGAAAAAUGUAGAAAAAUCCUGAAAUUGUGAAACUAAUUUUCCUAGAUUUCUUAUUUUCCCUAGAAUUUAAUAAAAAUAGUUUCAUGAUUUUUAGUUUAAACAGGGAAUUUUAGGGCAUUUAAAAUAGCUUAAAGAAAUAGUUCUGGAAUUUUAGAGAAUUAAUAGUAAUGCCAAAAAUGUUCAAAAUUUUUAUAUGAACUCCCCACAUUAUUUAGAAGCCUUGGGUAAAGUUUGAAUUGAUUUGGACCAUGUUUGAUAACUAGAAUCCAAAACCCCCCUGCUCUAUGAACUCCUUUACACACUCCGGAAACCCUAAGUUCUCGGAGUUCCAUGAAGGAAAGUUGUAUUCAAGAUUUAGAUAAUAAAUCUUAUUAUCUUCGCACUCUCAUGAGCAUUACAUGUCAUUCAUUCUUAUAUAUGUAUAUAUAUGGUUAUGUUAGAACGUGAAGAAGAAGUGGAAGUCACUGAAGAAAGGACACCACCACCCUCGCAUUCUCAAGCAGGAAACUGCUUCUACUUUGAUAUUUGUGGAUCCGAGCCAAACUCACCUACGAACGAAGGCAAGCCCCGGUGCAUGCAACCCUUUCCUUGUGUUUUUAAAUAACUUUCGCACACUUUAAGUCUAGUGAAAUGUGCAUUAGGUUUAUAGGAAUUGCUUGAAACCCUUUGAUGCAUUACUUUCCUUGAUAUCCAUACCUUUAUAGAUACUUCUGUGAAGUAUCAAAAUAUGAUUUACAAAAAUGCUUAGCCUUGCUUAGAUCUUGUGGAUAGAGGUUAUCCUUAGCCUAGCUCGAGAAAGGAUGGCUUCUACCUGUAAGAAUAUUUUCAUUUGGAGCAAUGGUGGGAUCUUACUGCAAAGUUCCCUGUGAUGCUCUUUCAUCCUAAGGAACAGAAACAAUCCUAAGGAUGGGAAAUACUUAAAUUGAGACUUGGGUUAGGAACAUGUGAUGUUCUACCCAGGUUGAUUAAGGAGUGAACGUGUAUGUAGGCGUGCUGAUCGAGGACCCUUUAACUGGUCACAUGCCUCUUCAUGGGUAAGCCUUGCCUCGGGCAGACUAAGGCCAGAAUAAGAUAACACGAAAUGGGCGUGGAGUGGUGGCGAGAGUAGCGUGUACCCUCCGUGGCAAGAGGCUGGACGGUGGUGUAUCUGUGCUCUCGGUUUGCGUGAACCUGAUCUGGUCUUAAGAACCCCGGUGGCGGGUUGACAUAUGCAAGGGUUAAGUGCUACAUAUGUCGUGUGAUUGGAGAUACUCAGCUGAGUAUAAUCGAUUUGGAUCGCCGUACCUUCGCGGUUAUGAAGACUUGGUCACUUCCCUACAACCUAAGUCAGGAUGUGAACAUUAUGGAUAAAAAUGAUGUUGUAUUGAAGAGAUGAUGAAAUUAGACUAGAUGCAAACAGAGUCUAUUAAUAUUUAAUCUGGCGCUAAAAUAUUGAAAGUAAGGACUCACUUUAGUAAGCUAUUUCUGCAAAAGUAUCGAAGUUGAUUCUUGCUAAAGCCUCUCCUUGAUUCCUAUUUAUCCAGCAUACCCUUGAGAGUCUUUUCUUUAGUCGGGUAAGACUUGCUGAGUAAUUCCAUACUCAGGGUUUAUCCCUUCAUUGUUUUUAGGUGAGGAAGUAGCAGAUUUCUGUUGCUUCUGUACCAAGGUGGUUCCUAAGGAGGAGAAACAAGACUGAAGUGCGGGAGGACUUGGUCCUCCAUAUAGAACUUUUGUUUAAAACUAUCGGGAGGAGUUUUUACCUCCCUUGGUAUGUGUAAUAGUACUACUCAGCACUCGUUUUAUAUUUCUGGUCUGUAAUAAACAACUUGAGCUUACUUUUUAAAUAAAUGUAAGUUAUGUAAUCGCUUCCGCAUUUCUUUAUCUCCGAUGUUCUGUAAUGUCUGCAAGACGGGUGAAACGUUCCUGGUAAGGUAAGAAAGAAGAUACCGAACUUAUCAAGUAGUUCAGGGGCACCUACAGGGUGUCUGAGGUUCGUUGGACAAGGACAACUGUAGGUGGGCCUAAUUACUUGGGAGGUUCCGUCACAGCUGGUAUCGGAGCGUAACCCUUCUUUGCAGAUAUUAUGAGGCAUCUUCAAAAGGAUUUUCUAAAAAGUCUUACCUAGAAACUCUCUUCUCUUCUUACCUAAGUAUUCAGAAGAGUCUAUCUUAAAGACCUGAUAGGAAGAGUGCAAUGUAUAGAAGGUUGAAUCAACUAAGGUUGAUUCUGUACUUACACAUGCAUCAUGCUAAGAAUUAUACUAAUAAAAUUUUCCCCCUUAGAAAGAUGCCGCCGCGCACAAGGAAAACGGCGAGCAAGUCAACUGGACCAAUCGGUGUGCCCCGACAUCAACUGGCCCCUCGACAUGAGGACAGUAGCAGCGGGAGCAAUGAUCCAAUAGGGGAUCUUGAAGCACGAGUAAAUUGACUUCAAGCGGAAUUGCAACACAGGACCAAUAUAUGGGUUGCGGAUGGAGAUAGAAUAAAUGAAUUAAGAAGGGACAUCCGCCACCUGCGGGAUCAGCUUACUGAUCGGGACUUGGCGCUCGACUAGGCAGUUCAGUCCCGUUUGCUGGCAUGUGCUAAGGAAGCAAGGGCUCAAGCUCGAAUCAAGGAACUUAGCUCAGCUGUCGACGACCUGCAGGUCUAUUGCAAUACUUUACAUGAGGAAGUCCAUGUACUGUAUUCGCAAUUACACCCUAGUGCACCUGCGCACCCUGUUGAGGCGGAAGCCGGACCCUCCCAUGUUGCGGGACACGCGCUUGGUGGUGAGUUCGACCUUUUUGAGCCCCCUCCUUCCAUGAGGCUGGUCGACAUAUGGUCUUCCACACCCGAUGACGAGGCCGCCAAAAGCAACGGGAAGCAGGACUAAUGGUGUAGUAGAAGUAGAAGUAGUAUAGUGUAUUGUAGGUUGUACUAGUGUAUAAUAGGUAGUGCUAUUGUAUACUAGGUAAUGUAUACUGUUGUAAGAGUCUUGAGUCUGUAACAUUACUUUUGGUAAUGUAAAAUGGAAUGGCUUUUUCUUUGGCAUAUCAUAUUGUUUCCAAAUGUUGUUGCCACAGAUGCCUUCCAAGACUCGAGCUCAGGACGGAGCUGGUACCUCCCGGGGGAGGGAAUCUACACCCAAUCCACCUCCUGUUCCUCCCACACUGGCUGAGGCGAUUGCCGCCUUAGUGAACGCAACUGCUGACAAUACCCGCUUUCUGAGAGAAAUGGCGGGCCAACAGUUCCAGCAGCCUGGUGGGCGGGGCUAUCAACAGGGACCCCGCGAAACUUCUUAUCUGGACUUCUCGGAGACACGUCCGCCCUUGUUUGUGAAAGCUAAAGAUCCAUGGAAGCCGAUGAAUGGCUUCGAGUGAUUGAACAAAAAUUCGGACUGCUGCGCUGUUCAGAAAUUCAGAAGCCUUUAUUCGCAGCUCAGCAACUGCGCGGACCUGCCAGUACUUGGUGGGGUAAUUUUGUGGCCAUUCAACCGGCCAAUCAUCAAAUAACCUGGGAAGAAUUCAAAAUAGCCUUCCGCGAGCAUUAUAUACCCGAAGGUGUUCUGCAUAUGAAGCAAGAAGAGUUCAUGAAGCUAAAACAAGGAGGAGAUACUGUCAAUCAGUAUCUCAACAAGUUUAAUCACCUGUCGCAAUACGCAAUCGAUCAGGUGAACACUGAUCUGAAAAAGAAAAAUUGCUUUAUGAGGGGUCUAAAUGAUCGAUUGCAGAGAAAAAUGGCCACCUGCAUAGAUCUCACGUAUGGAAAGGCUGUUAGCACAGCCCUAUCUGUUGAAGCAAAAUAUACAGGUUCCGGAAAGAACAAGGGAUUUGGUGGUGAAAAGUCUAAUCAGGGCCAGGCAAAAAGGCAACGGUUUGUGAUCCGGCCUUCUAGCCAAAAUCGCUCUUUUUCUCGUCCACCCUCAUUCCCUUUCAAGCAGCCAAUAAUUAUUCGUCCCAAUAAUGCCCCCACUGCCCCAAGUCAGCCGGGUGUCCUAGGCACUCGAUUCCCUGCUUUGCCCAGCUCUUCAACCGGAUGUUUCAAUUGUGGCAAGUCUGGGCAUUUCAUCAAAGAUUGCCCCUAUCCCAAGCAGAAUCAGUCGAAUAAUCAGCAAGGAUCUGGGAAAUCAGCUCAGCCCAAGGGAAACAAUGUGGGGAAGAAUACAAAGAAGACGGGGCGGAUAUACUAUACUCAAGUGGCCACUACACCGGAAGGUGAACCGGUGAUGAUGGGUACGUUUCUCGUGGCCAGUCACCCUGCAAUUAUUCUUUUUGAUUCUGGUGCUUCGCAUACAUUUAUUAGCAAGAAAUUUGUGGAGCAACAUCACAUUGCAUGCCAUGAAUCAAAAGAGGGAUUUAAAAUACACUCACCUGGGGGACAAAUCUUUACUAGAGAAGUGGCCUAUCAAGUGCCCGUAUCAUUGGCCGGACGGAACUUUCCUACCAAUAUGAUCGUCCUGAAAGGCCAAGACAUAGAUGUUAUUUUGGGUAUGAAUUGGUUGGCCAAGCAUAAAGCAACACUCAAUACUGAUCAAAGAACCAUCAGGUUGAGUCGUAAUCAAGAAGAAAUUCUUUUGCCCAUCCCUAUUCCAAACAAAAUUACUGGCAGAGUUUACGAAGUCAUGGUACCAGAAAUCAAGGAUAUCCCGGUAGUAUGCGAGUUCCCUGAUGUCUUUCCCGAGGAUUUGCCGGGAUUGCCACCUGAGCGGGAGGUAGAGUUUGUAAUAGAGUUGAAGCCCGGUACGGCUCCCAUUUCUCGAAGAUCAUACCGAAUGCCUCCUAAUGAGUUGGCAGAAUUGAAGAUUCAAUUACAAGAUCUCCUGGAGAAAGGAUUCAUCCGGCCAAGCUCAUCGCCAUGGGGUUGUCCAUCCAUAUUCGUCAAAAAGAAGGAUCAAACCUUACGAAUGUGUGUGGAUUAUCGACCCUUGAAUGAGGUCACCAUAAAAAACAAGUACCCUCUUCCAAGGAUUGACAUUCUAUUUGAUCAACUGACUGGAGCAAGGGUAUUUUCAAAGAUUGAUCUCCGAUCGGGCUAUCACCAGAUCCAUAUUCGGCCCGAAGAUAUACCAAAGACCGCGUUCACUACGCGGUAUGGGUUGUUUGAAUAUCUGGUAAUGUCUUUCGGGUUAACCAAUGCUCCGGCCCACUUCACUUAUUUGAUGAACUCGGUGUUCAUGCCCGAGCUAGACAAGUUUGUGGUGGUCUUCAUUGAUGACAUUUUGAUAUAUUCCAAGAAUGAAGAGGAGCACGCCCAACAUUUACGGAUCGUGUUAACGCGCCUGAGGGAACAUCAGUUGUAUGCCAAGUUCAGCAAAUGCGCGUUUUGGCUGGAGGAAAUUCAAUUUCUGGGACAUGUUCUAUCUGCCAGAGGGAUUGCGGUAGACCCCAGCAAAGUCAAGGACAUUUUGGAGUGGAAACCCUCGACCACUGUUCAUCAAGUCCGAAGUUUCCUUGGACUGGCGGGAUAUUACCGCAGAUUUAUACCAGACUUUUCAAAGCUUGUGAAACCAAUCACAAGUUUAUUGAAGAAUGAUGUUAAAUUCAAUUGGUCUUCAAAGUGUGAUGAAGCAUUUGAACAAUUGAAGACAUUUUUAACCACUGCUCCGGUAUUGGCUCAACCGGACAUGACCAAGCCUUUUGAUGUAUAUUGUGAUGCAUCUGGCAGUGGACUCGGCUGUGUAUUAAUGCAAGAGGGCUGAGUAAUUGCAUAUGCUUCAAGGCAGUUGCGCCGACAUGAGGAGCAUUACCCAACUCAUGAUCUGGAGCUAGCUGCUGUGGUUCAUGCCCUGAAAAUUUGGCGUCACUAUCUGCUGGGAAAUGUCUGUCAUAUCUAUACAGAUCAUAAAAGCUUAAAGUACAUCUUCACCCAGUCAGAAUUGAAUAUGAGGCAGAGUUGAUGGCUUGAGCUUAUUAAGGACUAUGAACUGGAAAUUCAUUAUCACCCAGGUAAAGCCAAUGUUGUGGCAGAUGCACUAAGCCGUAAGGUUUCCUGUCAUUGUCUUACGGUGAAGACCUCUGACAACACUUUAUGUCAAGAGAUGGAGAAGCUAAACCUAGGAAUGGUCCAACAAGGAACUUUGAAUCAGCUAAAGCUUGAGUCAGUCCUCUUGCAAAGGAUAAUUGAUGCCCAAAAGGAUAAUGAGGGCAUGAGACACAUUCGUGAGAAGAUAAGGGCUGGAAAAGCUAAAUGUUUCAAAGAAGAUGAUUAAGGCAUUGUAUGGUUUAAUAACCGCAUAGUGGUGCCAAAGAAUGAAGAGCUCCGCCAGCAAAUUCUUGAUGAAGCACAUCUUAGCCGCUACUCUAUUCAUCCCGGAAGCACUAAGAUGUACCAAGACUUGAAGCAACAUUACUGGUGGACAAAGAUGAAGAUCGAAAUUGCACGCUAUGUGGCGAGAUGUGACACCUGCAGACGUGUCAAAGCCAUACAUUUGAAAGCUGCCGGUCCAUUACAGUCAUUACCAAUACCGACAUGGAAAUGGGAAGACAUAAGUAUGGACUUCAUUGUGGGAUUGCCCAGGACCGCAAAAGGAUAUGACUUUAUCUGGGUGAUUGUUGAUCGACUUACAAAGAUUGCCCACUUCUUGCCUGUUAGGGUAAAGUAUACAGUGGCCACCUAUGCAGCAUUAUACAUUGCCCGUAUUCUCAGUUUGCAUGGUAUUCCGAAGACUAUAGUGUUGGAUCGUGGACCUUAGUUCGUAUCCAAAUUCUGGGAAGAACUUCAUAAAUCCCUGGGUACCAAAUUGCUCCACAGUUCGGCCUAUCACCCUCAAACAAGUGGACAGACUGAGAGGGUCAAUCAAAUACUCGAAGAUAUGCUGCGGGCAUGUGUUCUGGACUUCUCACAAAAAUGGGAUGAAUGUUUGCCCUUAGCGGAGUUUUCAUAUAAUAAUAGCUAUCAAGAAAGCAUCAAGAUGGCACCCUUUGAAGCUUUGUAUGGACGACGAUGUCGUACUCCGCUAAAUUGGUCUGAACCAGGUGAAAGGUACUUCUUUAGGCCUGACCUGGUAAAAGAAACUGAAGACAAAGUUCAGAAAAUAAUGCAUAAUAUGAAGAAAGCCCAAACUCGUCAAAAGAGUUAUGCCGACCGACGACGACAACCCUUAUGCUUUCUCGUAGGAGAUUAUGUCUACCUGAAAGUUUCACCAAUGAAGGUUAUAUCGCGUUUCGGGAUUAAAGGGAAGCUUGCACCCAGGUACAUUGGUCCCUUCCCUAUACUUGAGCAAUGUGGACCAGUGGCAUAUCGACUCCAACUACCCGAGACAUUGUCUGUCGUGCAUAAUGUGUUCCACGUGUCACAAUUGAAGAAGUGUCUUCGGAUUCCUGAUCGAAUCGUUGUAGUGACAGAUGUUGUCCUUGAGCCGGACUUAACAUAUUCUGAGCACCCUAUUCGAGUCUUGGAUCAAAAGGACAGGGUUACCCGAAGAAAAACUAUCAAGUUCUAUACGAUACAGUGGAACCAGCAUUCUGAAGAUGAGGCUACAUGGGAAACUCAAGACUUUUUAUAUAAGAAUUUCCCAGGCUUUUUAGCCUCAUGUAAUUUGUAAAAUAUAUUUAGUGUUGUAAUAAAGGAGUAAUUCCCAAACCACCCCAGCCUUGUACCAGAAAUAAGGGAAUAAAAAUGUGACACAUUUCCUUUUCCAUUACUUACCCUAGGACUUUUAAUCUCGGGACGAGAUUCUUCUAUGGGGGAAAGGAUGUAACACCCCUGGUGUUACUAUAACUAAAAUCUGAGCAUGGCAUCAUAAGCAUUGGCAUUGCAUAUGUUUGAUACACCUAGAGUGCCUUUACUAGGUAAAAAUUUCAAACAAGUUGUAUUGUUUUGGUGUUUUGCAAACAAGACCCUGGAUAGGGAACUUAACCCUAAUUAGGGAUUAAAGGGGUAAAACUUAAUCCAAGUUGAGAAAACCUAAAAGCCUUGGGGGAAUAGUCAUAAAAUGUCCCCAAAAAUAAAGUUGAAUCACAUUUAUACCCCUGGGAUGCCAGAAACCCUAAUUGGAACCCUAGAAAACCCUAAAUCCAAACCCUAGGGACCUAUGUGCAAAAUUAGUCCACUUUUGGACUAAAGUGCAAAAACCAAGUUAAAUAAGUGUCUUAAGUCAUUUGGUUCACAAAUGUGUGGAUUUGUAAGCUAAUUCUUGGAUUUUGGGCUUAUUUGCAAAAUGGACCUCAUUUGAGUUCUAUGCUAAGUCUGAAAUCAGAGAUUUGGCUCAACUUUGGAGCUUUAUAGCUUUCAAAUCAUUAAAAGUUUGCCCUAGGUCACCACAUCAAAAUUAUAGCCCAGUUAUAGGUGAACAACUUUGCUUAAGAGUGUGAGCAUUGUUGUUAAGAAAAUAUUGGAGAUAAUCAGGCCUGAAAUCAAGCUGUCAGGCUGAUUCAGUCUGAAAUUCAGAUGUUCCGUGUAACAGAGCCAACAUUGAGUAUGAAUUCAACCUUGAUCUAGUGCUCAAAUGAGUUCAAGCCCUAUAAUCGAAUUAUUGCUGGUUUAUAGCUCUACAAUUUUGCUGCAGAGCUUGGGAGGAGUUGUCAUUGGAAAUUGAGAGUAAAUCAUGCUCCAAGUUGCUCUGUCAGGUUGUCUGAUGGAGCACUCGCCAUGGUACAGUGCUACCAGGGAGAUCAGAUCGCCAGCGCAGCUGUUAUCACCGCCGGUGACCUGCCGCCGCGAUUCGUGCCAUUGCCGUCACGUUUUGUGCUCGGCUGGGUUGGAUAACGCUUCGGGUAGAAAAAUCUUCGCCGCCGUCAAGCUGGAAGCCACCCCGGUCAGCCGCGGUACUCCUCCCCUGGCUCACCGCCCGCGGGUAAAGUUGCUCACCGUCGUCGUGCCAUCGCCGUUGGCCACCGCGUGUCCUAACCGCGCCAUCGCAUCGCCGUGACUCCCUCUAAACUCCCCGUCGACCACCGGAGUUACUGCCACGGCGGUGAACACGUGUUCACUGCACCAGCAUUCUUCCUCACUUCCGACCGCCGUGUGUCUCGUCCAAAAUUCGCGGCCCCGCUCGCUCCGCCUAUAAAUUGAGCCCUCCCCUAGCUGCGUAACAUCCUCACCCACCCAGCCACCAACAAUCGUUAGCAACCGUGCCUCCGAGAGCUUGAAUUUUGGUUUCUCCCCAAUCCGGGUUUCCGCCACCGCAAAACUCACAUCACCGCGGUCAGCCCCAAUCCGGUUAGUUCAUCUCUCUCUCUCUCCCUUGUUUGAGCACUCUGGUUGCUCUGUGAUGCUUGCCGAGCCAUCAAUUCAAACUAAGAGACCACCAAUCGCUGGGAACACGACGAUCUAGCCGCCAUGCUCUCGGUCACCGUGGCCAGAGCUCCUUAGUUGGUCAUUAGUGCAAUUAAGUUAGGGGAAAUACUCUUUAGGUCACGGAUUUGGUUUAGACCGAAGACUAGCGCCGGUCUUGGUCCCCUCCGGCCGGUCUGCGUGCUCGCCGGAGUUCAUCCUCCAGGCGACGCCGUCGGGGACCUCCCACUGCGAAGAAACAGAAACCGGGGGUCUCUUUUGCAAGUUGUCAGUGGCUCUGUUAAAUAGUGAAAGAACUCGUUCGCUGUUAGACAAAAACGCAAGGGCCGUUCUGCAAAACCGCUAGCGCGGGCGCGGGCGCGCGUACGCUUCUGCGUGGAGUUAGGCCGCUUAAGCAAGUUUGAGCCCAAUACUGUUGAGUCUUUUCCUUUUUCUUUUUCAAAAUAACUUUAGAAAUCCAUGGAAAAAUGUAGAACAAUCCUGAAAUUGUGAAACCAAUUUUCCUAGAUUUCUUAUUUUCCCUAUAAUUUAAUAAAAAUAGUUUCAUGAUUUUUAGUUUAAACAGGGAAUUUUAGGGCAUUUAAAAUAGCUUAAAGAAAUAGUUCUAGAAUUUUAGAGAAUUAAUAGUAAUGCCAAAAAUGUUCAAAAUUUUUAUAUAAACUCCCCACAUUGUUUAGAAGCCUUGGGUAAUGUUUGAAUUGAUUUGGACCAUGUUUGAUAACUAGAACCCAAAACCCCCCUGCUCUAUGAACUCCUUUACAGACUCCGGAAACCCUAAGUUCUCGGAGUUCCGUGAAGGAAAGUUGUAUUCAAGACUUAGAUAAUAAAUCUUAUUAUCUUCGCACUCUCAUGAGCAUUACAUGGCAUUCAUUCUUAUAUAUGUAUAUAUAUGGUUAUGUUAGAACGUGAAGAAGAAGUGGAAGUCACUGAAGAAAGGACACCACCACCCUCGGAUUCUCAAGCAGGAAACUGCUUCUACUUUGAUAUUUGUGGACCCGAGCCAGACUCACCUACGAACGAAGGCAAGCCCCGGUGCAUGCAACCCUUUCCUUGUGUUUUUAAAUAACUUUCGCACACUUUAAGUCUAGUGAAAUGUGCAUUAGGUUUAUAGGAAUUGCUUGAAACCUUUUGAUGCAUUUCUUUCCUUGAUAUCCAUACCUUUAUAGAUACUUCUGUGAAGUAUCAAAAUAUGAUUUACAAAAAUGCUUAGCCUUGCAUAGAUCUUGUGGAUAGAGGUUAUCCUUAGCCUAGCUCGAGAAAGGAUGGCUUCUACCUGCAAGAAUAUUUUCAUUUGGAGCAAUGGUGGGAUCUUACUGCAAAGUUCCCUGUGAUGCUCUUUCAUCCUAAGGAAUAGAAACAAUCCUAAGGAUGGGAAAUACUUAAAUUGAGACUUGGGUUAGGAACAGGUGAUGUUCUACCCAGGUUGAUUAAGGAUUGAACGUGUAUGUAGGCGUGCUGAUCGAGGACCCUUUAACUGGUCACAUGCCUCGUCAUGGGUAAGCCUUGCCUCAGGCAGACUAAGGCCAGAAUAAGAUAACACGAAAUGGGCAUGGAGCGGUGGCGAGAGUAGCGUGUACCCUCCGUGGCAAGAGGCUGGACGGUGGUGUAUCUGUGCUCUCGGUUUGCGUGAACCUGAUCUGGUCUUAAGAACCCCGGUGGCGGGUUGACAUAUGGAAGGGUUAAGUGCUACAUAUGUCGUGUGAUUGGAGAUCCUCAGCUGAGUAUAAUCGAUUCGGAUCGCCGUACCUUCGCGGUUAUGAAGACUUGGUCACUUCCCUACAACCUAAGUCAGGAUGUGAACAUUAUGGAUAAAAAUGAUGUUGUAUUGAAGAGAUGAUGAAAUUAGACUAGAUGCAAACAGAGUCUAUUAAUAUUUAAUCUCGCGCUAAAAUAUUGAAAGUAAGGACUCACUUUAGUAAGCUAUUUCUGCAAAAGUAUCGAAGUUGAUUCUUGCUAAAGCCUCUCCUUGAUUCCUAUUUAUCCAGCAUACCCUUGAGAGUCUUUUCUUUAGUCGGGUAAGACUUGCUGAGUAAUUCCAUACUCAGGGUUUAUCCCUUCGUUGUUUUUAGGUGAGGAAGUAGCAGAUUUCUGUUGCUUCUGUACCAAGGUGGUUCCUAAGGAGGAGAAACAAGACUGAAGUGCAGGAGGACUUGGUCCUCCAUAUAGAACUUUUGUUUAAAACUAUCGGGAGGAGUUUUUACCUCCCUUGGUAUGUGUAAUAGUACUACUCAGCACUCGUUUUAUAUUUCUGGUCUGUAAUAAACAACUUGAACUUACUUUUUAAAUAAAUGUAAGUUAUGUAAUCGCUUCCGCAUUUCUUUAUCUCCGAUGUUCUGUAAUGUCUGCAAGACGGGUGAAACGUUCCUGGUAAGGUAAGAAAGAAGAUACCGAACUUAUCAAGUAGUUCAGGGGCACCUACAGGGUGUCUGAGGUCCGUUGGACAAGGACAACUGUAGGUGGGCCUAAUUACUUGGGAGGUUCCGUCACAGUUUAGGGUUUAGGGAUAGGAUUUAGGGUCUAGGUUUCCAUAAAAUCGUGUGCUAUAGCUCACGGGUGGCAAAAAAUGCCAUAACGGCCUCCCCGGUCUAAAACGAAGGUGGCUGGUCGGAUACAUAAAAUUGGUUGUUUGGCCACGGAAAUGUGUGAUAUAGCUCGCGGGAGGCCAAGAACCGCUUUAAGGUGCUCCGGGGACAAAAACACGUGUGGUGGAACGCGGACAUAAACAUGGUCGCUGGGCCAUGAAAACGUGUGUUAUAUCUCACGGGAGGCCAAAACAGCCUUACCAGUCUCAAUGGUCAAAUCAUGGGUGGCGGAUGGGAGGCACGAAAUCGCUGUUCGACGACAAAAACAUGUGUCACGGGAGGCCAAAAUAGCCUUACGGGCCUUGGGGGACUAAAACGUGUACUUUGGUUUGGACACUAAAAUUCUACCAUGCCUGCAAGCUUACUAUGGUUUGGAGACUCAAACUUCAUUUUACUAUGGCUUGGACACUAAAACCUUUUAGUGUCAGUGUUUAAGGUUAGGGUUUAGGGAUUGGAUUCGGGGUCUUGGUUACCAUAAAAAUGUGUGCUAUAGCUCACUUGUGGCAAAAAAUGUUGUAACGGCCUCUCCGGUCUAAAACGUAGGUGGCAGGUCGGAUACAUGAAAUUGGCUCUUUGGCCACGAAAACGUGUGCUACAGCUCAUGGGAGGCCAAGAACAACUUUAAGGUGCUCUGGGGACCAAAACACGGGUGGUGGAACACGUACAUAAAAAUGGUCGCUCGACCAUGAAAACGUGUGCUAUAGCUUAUGAGAGGCCAUAAACAGCCUUUGCAGUCUCAGUGGCCAAAUCAUGGGUGGCGGACGGGAGGCAUGAAAUCGUUGUUUGACAAUGAAAACAUGUGUCACGGGAGGCCAAAAAUAGCCUUACCGGCCUCCGGCGACCAAAAUGUGUACUAUGGUUUGGCACUAAAAUUCUACUAUGUCAGCAAAGUUGAUAAGGUUGGGAGACUCAAAUUUCAUUUUACCAUGGUUUCGACACUAAAAUCCUUUAGUGUCGAUGUUUAGGUUUAGGGUUUAGGGAUAGGAUUUAGGGUCUAGGUUUCCAUAAAAUCGUGUGCUAUAGCUCACGGGUGGCAAAAAAAUGCCAUAACGGCCUUCCCGGUCUAAAACGAAGGUGACAGGUCGGAUACAUUAAAUUGGUUGUUUGGCCACGGAAAUGUGUGAUAAAGCUCGCGGGAGGCCAAGAACCGGUUUAAGGUGCUCCGGGGACAAAAACACGUGUGGCGGAACGCGGACAUAAAAAUGGUCGCUGGGCCAUGUAAACGUGUGCUAUAGCUCACGGGAGGCCAAAACAGCCUUACCAGUCCUAAUAGUCAAAUCAUGGGUGGCGGACAGGAGGCACGAAAUCGCUGUUCGAUGACAAAAGCAUGUGUCACGGGAGGCCCUAAAACCUAAACCCUAAACCCUUAACCCUAUAGCUUGUGGGAAGCCAAGAACAACUUUAAGGUGCUCUAGGGACCAAAACGCGGGUGGUGGAACACGUACUUAAAAAUGGCCGCUCAACCAUGAAAACGUGUGCUAUAGCUUACGGGAGGCCAUAAACAGCCUUAGCAGUCUCAGUGGCCAAAUCAUGGGUGGCGGACGGGAGGCAUGAAAUCGUUGUUUGACGAUGAAAACAUGUGUCACGGGAGGCCAAAAAUAGCCUUACCGGCCUCCGGGGACCACAAUGUGUACUAUGGUUUGGACACUAAAAUUCUACUAUGUCAGCAAAGUUGAUAUGGUUAGGAGACUCAAAUUUCUUUUUACUAUGGUUUCGACACUAAAAUCCUUUAGUGUCGAUGUUUAGGUUUAGGGUUUAGGGAUAGGAUUUAGGGUCUAGGUUUCCAUAAAAUCGUGUGCUAUAGCUCACGGGUGGCAAAAAAUGCCAUAACGGCCUCCCCGGUCUAAAACGAAGGUGGCUGGUCGGAUACAUAAAAUUGGUUGUUUGGCCACGGAAAUGUGUGAUAUAGCUCGCGGGAGGCCAAGAACCGCUUUAAGGUGCUCCGGGGACAAAAACACGUGUGGUGGAACGCGGACAUAAACAUGGUCGCUGGGCCAUGAAAACGUGUGUUAUAUCUCACGGGAGGCCAAAACAGCCUUACCAGUCUCAAUGGUCAAAUCAUGGGUGGCGGAUGGGAGGCACGAAAUCGCUGUUCGACGACAAAAACAUGUGUCACGGGAGGCCAAAAUAGCCUUACGGGCCUUGGGGGACUAAAACGUGUACUUUGGUUUGGACACUAAAAUUCUACCAUGCCUGCAAGCUUACUAUGGUUUGGAGACUCAAACUUCAUUUUACUAUGGCUUGGACACUAAAACCUUUUAGUGUCAGUGUUUAAGGUUAGGGUUUAGGGAUUGGAUUCGGGGUCUUGGUUACCAUAAAAAUGUGUGCUAUAGCUCACUUGUGGCAAAAAAUGUUGUAACGGCCUCUCCGGUCUAAAACGUAGGUGGCAGGUCGGAUACAUGAAAUUGGCUCUUUGGCCACGAAAACGUGUGCUACAGCUCAUGGGAGGCCAAGAACAACUUUAAGGUGCUCUGGGGACCAAAACACGGGUGGUGGAACACGUACAUAAAAAUGGUCGCUCGACCAUGAAAACGUGUGCUAUAGCUUAUGAGAGGCCAUAAACAGCCUUUGCAGUCUCAGUGGCCAAAUCAUGGGUGGCGGACGGGAGGCAUGAAAUCGUUGUUUGACAAUGAAAACAUGUGUCACGGGAGGCCAAAAAUAGCCUUACUGGCCUCCGGCGACCAAAAUGUGUACUAUGGUUUGGCACUAAAAUUCUACUAUGUCAGCAAAGUUGAUAAGGUUGGGAGACUCAAAUUUCAUUUUACCAUGGUUUCGACACUAAAAUCCUUUAGUGUCGAUGUUUAGGUUUAGGGUUUAGGGAUAGGAUUUAGGGUCUAGGUUUCCAUAAAAUCGUGUGCUAUAGCUCACGGGUGGCAAAAAAUGCCAUAACGGCCUUCCCGGUCUAAAACGAAGGUGACAGGUCGGAUACAUUAAAUUGGUCGUUUGGCCACGGAAAUGUGUGAUAAAGCUCGCGGGAGGCCAAGAACCGGUUUAAGGUGCUCCGGGGACAAAAACACGUGUGGCGGAACGCGGACAUAAAAAUGGUCGCUGGGCCAUGUAAACGUGUGCUAUAGCUCACGGGAGGCCAAAACAGCCUUACCAGUCCUAAUAGUCAAAUCAUGGGUGGCGGACAGGAGGCACGAAAUCGCUGUUCGAUGACAAAAGCAUGUGUCACGGGAGGCCCUAAAACCUAAACCCUAAACCCUUAACCCUAUAGCUUGUGGGAAGCCAAGAACAACUUUAAGGUGCUCUAGGGACCAAAACGCGGGUGGUGGAACACGUACUUAAAAAUGGUCGCUCAACCAUGAAAACGUGUGCUAUAGCUUACGGGAGGCCAUAAACAGCCUUAGCAGUCUCAGUGGCCAAAUCAUGGGUGGCGGACGGGAGGCAUGAAAUCGUUGUUUGACGAUGAAAACAUGUGUCACGGGAGGCCAAAAAUAGCCUUACCGGCCUCCGGGGACCACAAUGUGUACUAUGGUUUGGACACUAAAAUUCUACUAUGUCAGCAAAGUUGAUAUGGUUAGGAGACUCAAAUUUCAUUUUACUAUGGUUUCGACACUAAAAUCCUUUAGUGUCGAUGUUUAGGUUUAGGGUUUAGGGAUAGGAUUUAGGGUCUAGGUUUCCAUAAAAUCGUGUGCUAUAGCUCACGGGUGGCAAAAAAUGCCAUAACGGCCUCCCCGGUCUAAAACGAAGGUGGCUGGUCGGAUACAUAAAAUUGGUUGUUUGGCCACGAAAAUGUGUGAUAAAGCUCGCGGAAGGCCAAGAACCGCUUUAAGGUGCUCCUGGGACAAAAACACGUGUGGCGGAACGCGGACAUAAAAAAGGUCGCUGGGCCAUGUAAACGUGUGUUAUAGCUCACGGGAGGCCAAAACAGCCUUACCAGUCUUAAUGGUCAAAUCAUGGGUUGCGGACGGGAGGCACGAAAUCGCUGUUCGAUGACAAAAACAUGUGUCACGAGAGGCCCUAAAACCUAAACCCUAAACCCUUAACCCUACAGCUUGUGGGAAGCCAAGAACAACUUUAAGGUGCUCUAGGGACCAAAACGCGGUUGGUGGAACACGUACUUAAAAAUGGUUGCUCGACCCUGAAAACGUGUGCUAUAGCUUACGGGAGGCCAUAAACAACCUUAGCAGUCUCAGUGGCCAAAUCAUGGGUGGCGGACGGGAGGCAUGAAAUCGUUGUUUGACGAUGAAAACAUGUGUCACGGGAGGCCAAAAAUAGCCUUACCGGCCUCCGGGGACCAAAAUGUGUACUAUGGUUUGGACACUAAAAUUCUACUAUGUCAGCAAAGUUGAUAUGGUUAGGAGACU